rnacentral:lncRNA from 1 species
CUAAGCCUUUUGAAAUUGCCACACGAAAUAAUUAAAAGAAGGCUAAUUUACAAAGAAUGAUUGAAACUGAAAUUUUAAUAUAACAUCAGCUCCCUCCUCUACUUCAUUUACCAACCGACUCUACCUUCAGAUUUGGUCAUAAACUAAUUAAAAUCUAGACAUCACCGAAAUUUGAAGACUAGGCGAGCCUGAUAGAAAAGUAGGCCGUUUUGGCAUGACAUAGUUGACACAAGAAUUGACGGUCUCCAAGUCAGCUCAAAACCUUAACAAGUUCCGGCUCUGAUCAGCCAAGUGUUAGCAAUUGUCCUUUCUUAGUCCUUUGAACAAUUAUAACCU